rnacentral:rRNA from 1 species
UACGAAGGGGGCUAGCGUUGUUCGGAAUUACUGGGCGUAAAGCGCGCGCAGGCGGUUUCUCAAGUCAGUGGUGAAAGCCCGGAGCUCAACUCCGGAACUGCCAUUGAAACUGUGAAACUUGAGGACGAGAGAGGUGAGUGGAAUUCCCAGUGUAGAGGUGAAAUUCGUAGAUAUUGGGAAGAACGCCGGUGGCGAAGGCGGCUCACUGGCUCGUUUCUGACGCUCAGGCGCGACAGCGUGGGGAUCAAACAGG